AGGGCGCACAGUCAGUGGGGGUAGACGCGAAACCAAGUGAUCUACACUUGGCCAGGAUGAAGUCCCGGUAACACGGGAUGGAGGUCCGCACCAAUAAGCGUUGAAAAGCUUCUGGAUGAGCCGAGUGUAGGAGUGAAAGGCCAAUCAAACUUGGAGAUAGCUCGUACUCCCCGAAAGGCAUUUAGGUGCCGCGUCGGAUGGUCACCGUGAGAGGUAGAGCGACCGAUAGGACAAGAGGGCUUCACCGCCUAUCGAGUCCUGACGAACUCCGAAUGCUCACGGUUUGCAGUCCGGCAGUAAGGGGGCGGGUGCUAAGGUCCGUCCCCGAGAGGAGAAGAAUCCAGACCGCCGUCUAAGGUCCCGGAGUUCUGCCUGAGUUAGUCUAACGAAGUCUGGUCCCUAUGACAGCUAGGAUGUUGGCUUGGAAGCAGCCAUUCAUUCAAAGAGUGCGUAACAGCUCACUAGUCGAGGGUCCGGGCAUGGAUAAUAAUCGGGUAUAAGGCAGACACCGAAGGCGCGGGAUAGCAAUUUUAAAAGUAUCGGUAGGGGAGCAUACUCACAGCGUCGAAUGGUGUACGUAAGUUAUCCUGGAGCGGUGAGUAAAGCAAAUGUAGGAAUAAGUAACGAUAAGGAGGGUUAGAUUCCCUCCCGCUGUAAGACCAAGGUUUCCCGGGCAAUGCCAAUCAGCCCGGGGUCAGUCGGGUCCUAAGUCUAAGCCGAACGGCGAUGGCGAUGGCAGAGACGGUUAAUAUUCCGUCACUGCCGCAUGGGGCGACGUGGAGACGGAGCAGUGAAACCACCGCGGGGCGACGGAAGUCCCCGUUGAAGAGUGUAGGCGUUGAGGAUGGCAGGCAAAUCCACUGUCCGAGCUGAACUUGAUAGUAUGGAGUCUUCUUCGGAAGAAUCCAAUAGUGUGGGUAAUCAUACUCCCGAGAAAAUCCGCUAAGCUUAACCCAUGCGGCACCCGUACCGCAAACGGACACACGUGGUCGGGUAGAACAUACUAAGGCGUUGAGAGAUUCAUGGUUAAGGAACUAGGCAAAUUGACCCUGUAACUUCGGGAUAAAGGGUCCUCGUGAUGAGCGAGGCGCAGAGAAUAGGUCCAGGCAACUGUUUAACAAAAACACAGGGCUGUGCAAACUCGAAAGAUGACGUAUACAGCCUGACACCUGCCCGGUGCCGGAAGGUUAAGAGGAGAUGUCACUAGCAAUAGGAAGCAUUGAAUUGAAGCCCCGGUAAACGGCGGCCGUAACUAUAACGGUCCUAAGGUAGCGAAAUUCCUUGUCGGGU
rnacentral:rRNA from 1 species